rnacentral:rRNA from 1 species
UACAGAGGGUGCGAGCGUUGUUCGGAAUUAUUGGGCGUAAAGGGCGCUUAGGCGGUGCGGUAAGUCACCUGUGAAAUCUCCUGGCUCAACUGGGAGCUUGCAGGCGAAACUGCCGUGCUGGAGUGUGGGAGAGGUGCGUGGAAUUCCUGGUGUAGCGGUGAAAUGCGUAGAUAUCAGGAGGAACACCUGUGGCGAAAGCGGCGCACUGGACCACAACUGACGCUGAUGCACGAAAGCGUGGGGAGCAAACAGG